rnacentral:tRNA from 12 species
GCCCGGAUGACCUCCUCUGGUGAGGGGUGCAGGCUUCAAACCUGUAGUGGUCGCAAGGCCAAGCUGUUCAAUUCAGCCUUCUGGGCGCCA